CAGCAGCCGCGGUAAUACGUAGGUGGCAAGCGUUGUCCGGAAUUAUUGGGCGUAAAGGGCUCGCAGGCGGUUUCUUAAGUCUGAUGUGAAAGCCCCCGGCUCAACCGGGGAGGGUCAUUGGAAGCUGGGAAACUUGAGUGCAGAAGAGGAGAGUGGAAUUCCACGUGUAGCGGUGAAAUGCGUAGAGAUGUGGAGGAACACCAGUGGCGAAGGCGACUCUCUGGUCUGUAACUGACGCUGAGGAGCGAAAGCGUGGGGAGCGAACAGGAUUAGAUACCCGAGUAGUCCCUGUCUCUUAUAC
rnacentral:rRNA from 1 species